rfam:Chlorocebus sabaeus isolate 1994-021 chromosome 16, whole genome shotgun sequence.
GCCGGGCGUGGUGGCUCAAGCCUGUAAUCCCAGCUCUUUGGGAGGCCGAGAUGGGUGGAUCACGAGGUCAGGAGAUCGAGACCAUCCUGGCUAACAUGGUGAAACCCCAUCUCUACUAAAAAUACAAAAAAAAANNNNNNNNNNUUUUUUUUUGUAUUUUUAGUAGAGAUGGGGUUUCACCAUGUUAGCCAGGAUGGUCUCGAUCUCCUGACCUCGUGAUCCACCCAUCUCGGC